rnacentral:rRNA from 1 species
UACGGGGGGAGCAAGCGUUGUUCGGAUUUACUGGGCGUAAAGGGCGCGUAGGCGGUCGUGACAAGUCACUUGUGAAAUCUCCGGGCUUAACUCGGAACGGUCAAGUGAUACUGUCGGACUAGAGUACAGAAGGGGGCAACUGGAAUUCUCGGUGUAGCGGUGAAAUGCGUAGAUAUCGAGAGGAACACCUGCGGCGAAGGCGGGUUGCUGGGCUGAUACUGACGCUGAGGAGCGAAAGCGUGGGGAGCGAACAGG